CUUCACAUGGAGUGCUUUCAAGGAGUGCUGUUUAUCUCUACAAAUAUAACACUACUAUCACAUCUGACCUUUGCUCUGUAUAGCAAAGUUUUAGAUAACAUUACCGAUAUGCAUAAUCUCUCAACACUGCUGUUACACAUUCCCACAACACUGGAAUCAUUAAUUCAAGAUAAUGUGAUGAGGAAGUGUUGAGACUUCACCCUGACUUGGCUGGGCACUUAGCUGAUGAAGGGAAACUUACAAGAGAUUCUUCUAAAGAACAGCAGAGUGCAGGGUUGGCUUGUUUUUUCUUCAUCAGAAUGCAAAUCUUCAAAAAACACUGAGUUUCACUAUAAUAUGGAAUCAGUAAUCUAUUUUAUAUGUAUUAUAUAUAUCUGUAAAAUUAUCAUCCCACAUUUUAAAUGUUAUGCACCCCAGUUUCUUUAGGAAUAACAAACAGAUCACUUGGGAAGUUUCAAGAUCCAUGGAUUACCUGUUUGUCUCCACUUAAAUAUUACAGAUAUCAAAGUGUGCUGAGAACAUACACAUCUUAACAAGUCACAUAUGCAAACUAAGUUUAAAAUCUGCAAUGAGACAUUAGUGCACUGGGGACAAUAUAUAAACAUACCAAGACCCAAGACACAAUUUCUAACCUGGCUUUAAAAAAAAGUAUAUAUCAAAGUCAAGGGUUAAAUAUAACAGCCUUGAAAAUAAAACAGACACAAACUGUGAUACACUAUUAGAAACAUAACUUCAUUAGCUUUCAAACAUCCAAAAACGGAGUCUCAUAGCCAUGUAUAAAAAUGCCACUGCAAUUUUUAAGCACUGCUGUUGAAUUUACUGGAAGACAAAGGAUGCUAACAUUUUUAAUCAUCCACAAACUUAAGGAAUGUCACACAUACAUAACAGGUUGUCAGCUAUGAUCAUUUACUGUGAAAUAACCCAAAUAUUUUUCAUAAGCAUCAGCUUUUGAAAUAACAAAAAAGUAGUGCUAUAAUGUGUAAACUAAUGCUACAAGUAAAUAAUGUAAUAUACACAGUAGAAGAUGGA